UACGAAGGGUGCAAGCGUUACUCGGAAUUACUGGGCGUAAAGCGUGCGUAGGUGGUUUGUUAAGUCUGAUGUGAAAGCCCUGGGCUCAACCUGGGAAUGGCAUUGGAUACUGGCGAGCUAGAGUGCGGUAGAGGGUAGUGGAAUUCCCGGUGUAGCAGUGAAAUGCGUAGAGAUCGGGGGGAACAUCUGUGGCGAAGGCGACUACCUGGACCAGCACUGACACUGAGGCACGAAAGCGUGGGGAGCAAACAGG
rnacentral:rRNA from 1 species